UAAGACGAGAAGACCCCAUGGAGCUUUAAACCCAAUUAUAUCUCUAACCACUAUAACCAUUUAACCACUUAGAACUUAUAUACUUGGUUUUAGGUUGGGGCGACCACGGAGCACAACCAAACCUCCACGAUGAACGGAACAACCCCCUUAUCUGAGAAUUACACUUCUAAGAAUUAGCACACUAACAUAAAAUGACCCAUUAUUGAUCAACGAACCAAGUUACCCUGGGGAUAACAGCGCAAUCCAUUUUAAGAGCCCCUAUCGACAAAU
rnacentral:rRNA from 1 species